GCUUACAGUUCAUCCAAGUCCCUUGGAGGCCAUUUCACCUUUUUCAACCAUUUGGCUUACAGUUCGUUCAAGUGCUGCCAGUCUCUUGGGGGCCAUUUCACCUUUAUCAACCAUUUGAGUAAUCUUACAGUUAAUUCAGGUGUUGCCAGUCUGUUGGACCAUUUCAUAAUUGUUGUUGGAGUCAUCUUACUAUU